GAUGAACGCUGGCGGCGUGCCUAAUACAUGCAAGUCGAGCGAACAGACGAGGAGCUUGCUCCUCUGACGUUAGCGGCGGACGGGUGAGUAACACGUGGAUAACCUACCUAUAAGACUGGGAUAACUUCGGGAAACCGGAGCUAAUGCCGGAUAACAUGUUGAACCGCAUGGUUCAACAGUGAAAGACGGUCUUGCUGUCACUUAUAGAUGGAUCCGCGCCGCAUUAGCUAGUUGGUAAGGUAACGGCUUACCAAGGCAACGAUGCGUAGCCGACCUGAGAGGGUGAUCGGCCACACUGGAACUGAGACACGGUCCAGACUCCUACGGGAGGCAGCAGUAGGGAAUCUUCCGCAAUGGGCGAAAGCCUGACGGAGCAACGCCGCGUGAGUGAUGAAGGUCUUCGGAUCGUAAAACUCUGUUAUUAGGGAAGAACAAAUGUGUAAGUAACUAUGCACGUCUUGACGGUACCUAAUCAGAAAGCCACGGCUAACUACGUG
rnacentral:rRNA from 1 species